rnacentral:tRNA from 1 species
GAUGAGGUGGUCCAGUGGUUAAGGCAAUGGACUGCUAAUCCAUUGUGCUCUGCAUGUCAAGGUUUGACUCCCAUUCUCAUUG